AGCGAACGUUAGCGGCGGGCCUAACACAUGCAAGUCGAACGCGAAAGGUCUUCGGACUGAGUAGAGUGGCGCACGGGUGAGUAACACGUAGGUAAUCUACCCUUUGGCGGGGGAUAACGUUCCGAAAGGAGCGCAAUACCGCAUAAGACCACGUGGUCUCCGGACCGAGUGGGAAAAGGUGGCCUCUUCUUGAAAGCUACCACCGAAGGAUGAGCCUGCGUCCCAUCAGCUAGUUGGUAAGGUAAUGGCUUACCAAGGCGAAGACGGGUAGCUGGUUUGAGAGAAUGAUCAGCCACACUGGCACUGGAACACGGGCCAGACUCCUACGGGAGGCAGCAGUGGGGAAUAUUGUACAAUGGGCGCAAGCCUGAUACAGCAAUGCCGCGUGAGUGAAGACGGCCUUAGGGUGUAAAACUCUUUCGCCAGGGAAGAUAAAUGACGGUACCUGGUAAAGAAGUCCCGGCUAACUCCGUGCCAGCAGCCGCGGUAAAGUCAGUG
rnacentral:rRNA from 1 species